rnacentral:sRNA from 1 species
GUAAGUAAUCUAUCUAGACAAAAUGGAAACUCCCACAUUCUAUGAAAGGUUCUGAUGCAAUGUUCCACAUGGAUAGUAACACCUUCAUUUAACAUGGAACCAGGUAAAAAGAGUUUUUGGCAGUUAUUGCAAAUGAAAUGAUUUGGAUACAAGAUUUAGAGACUGAGUACAUGGUGAAAAUGAAGACGUGUCAUCACAUAACAGGAAAGUCAUUAUGCUUUUGAUAGUGUUUGGACUUGCUAUAAUCUAUAGGGAGAGAGGUCUCCUCACAGCUUCCAGAAGGUCAUUAAAAGUAAAGAAUAACUUUUGGCUUUCCUAGUAAAUAUUUAUCUUCCUCCAUGUGUUCCUUGGUUUCAAAGCUGAGAGUAUCAACGUAAUGUCUACCUUGGGGCCAGAGGUUAAAAGGGCACUGAACUGUCUGCCCCAAAGUGGCCCAAAGAAUAGUGGGAUGUACUGACAUUCUGCUGACAUACUGUGUCCCCAUGUUGCAUGAGAGUCCAUGGUAUAACCAUGAGAAAAUUGAAGAUGUAAAAAAAAUUAAAGGCGAACUUGCGCCCAUAGGUUGGUGGUGGACAUUAUAGAAAAGAAUAGCUCUGUCAGAAAUUAGUGUCAGGACUGUGGUAACUAACCUUUACCAGGCUCCCUGACUGGAGAUCACAAUACUGAGUUGCUCACACUAAGAUAUGUUGUAGCUAGACUUGAUAGGCUGGCCCUGUAUUUCAAAGCAAUCUCUCAUGUUUGUAGUAAUGUAAAUCAAAAUCAGUGAUACUUCUUUCAGAAGUAGGCAUUUAUGAGGGGAAAAAAGUAUGGUCAAGUCUGGGAAACUAAAUUCACUGAUACCUGCUGGAGAGAGGAAGCUAAGAUUACAUGAUUUUUUUUUUUUUAGUAAAGCCUUUUGUGUGGGAAGCUGCCUUUUCCAAAACACUGAAAAUUCCCCAAAAAAUAGCUAAAAUUUCCUCCAGAUACUGUUUCAAACUUUUAAUGACUCCCUCAAGAUUGUUUCUUGCAAUAGCUGAAUAUUCAUAAUCAAAACUAGCCAAUUAAAGGUGAAUGAACAAUGUAUGGAAGAAAACCGUCAAUGUGCAUGCAGACUUUAAAACUUUGGACACGUGCAAAUAAACAAAAGGACAUUACUUAAACAGUACAAAACACCCUAACCCUAUUCACUGAACUAUCUCAGAGAUCUACUGGGCUUUUGACAUCCUCAAUAUACCCCCAGUCCCCAUUUUGUGCUUUGUCAUUGUGAUGCUGUUCAAGGGAGUAAUCAAAGGUAAUGAAAACAAUGUUGAAACGGUUUACAUGAUUCUAUCACUCCUGUGUGAUUAGGCAGGAUUUUACCAUGGCUUCUGCAGACCCUUGGCAAGAAGGCAGAAGGCCGAGAUGACAGUGUCUAAGGGACUCCUUCAGGCACCUAAGAACCCAUGAAAAUCGAGGUUUUACUAGAUCUGAGGCCUUUUCAUCCUCUAUCUAUCCUUGUUAGCUACAUUAUGAAUACAGGAUCAUGGUCUAAGCCCCAACUACCUCGGGCCUGGGCCUGGGAAUUCAGGAAGGUAGAUAAUGGUGAAUGCAUAGCUGAUGAGGCCACAGAGCAGCAAUUGUCAGUGCCCGUUCAACUCUCUUCACUGAUGUCUCCAUUAAUCCUGUGGUUGUAUGUGAGAUUGUUAGGAUGUGGGCCUUUACCUUUUAAGAAUUGACAGAAUGAUAACAAUUUGAUAUUUGCCCUAUACCUGAUCACCUAUAUUGCCAGGAUAAGGGAGUUUUCAUUGUACAAAAUGGGAUCAUAAGACAGAGAUUUCAUGAAAACCCAUGGUGAAUAUAUUGAAAGCAUACCCCCUCUCAAGAAAUGCUCAGUGAAAAAAUAUACUUGAUCUAGAGUAAAUUUAAAGGUGUAGGGAAAAAUAUCAGCCUCUGGGAAACAGCAAAAACUGUGGGAAUUGUACUGAAUGUCACUUGAAUGGACCCUUGUGAUAGACAUUUCAGGGUGAAGAAUCUCCAUAAUUCAAAAACUUUAGAUCUUUGGGACUUAACACAGAUCUGAUACCCAUAUCAAAGCCUUAACCAACUCUCCUUAUGCUAAAAAAUUGAAUUAUGAUGAAGUAUAUUUAACUCUUUAGCUUUGGAAGUAGAGUGUAUCAAUAGAUAUCCCCUGGAUCAAAAGUGGGUCUCUGGAAAAGGCACUCCAGAGACUGGACAGUCUGGGUAGAGUUAGUUAGCAAGUAGGUUAUGGCAUUUCCCAGUGACAUCAUCAGUAGCCACUUACUGGACAUUUUCUUGUAUCCAGGAGAACCAUAGAAUGUUCUGUGAUGUACCCAGUGCUGUGAUGUCACUAACUGCCUGUGGACAAUAACCUCAGAACCUAUUGGGUUCACAAGCAGAAUGUUGUCCAGGCUGUUCAGUGUAUUUCUGACGGAGAAUCAAACACAUGCAAAGACCAGUCCAAGCCUUCUCUCGGGAUGUACAAAGAGAAGGAAGAAAUAGCCCUGGGAUUCUACAAUUGAGAAUUCUUACCUAAGAAAAGGAGAAUAAUCUUCACAGGUUUAAGUUGGAGCCUGGACUGUGGCAGAGGUUCCUGAAAUCUUCUCGGCAAGCUAGUCUAUUCCUUCAAGAUCACACAGGGAGCUCAAGUCGAUCAGAUCCCUCCUUUUGUUUGCUGGCUCUGCUGUCCCUGUGUCCAUAAUAAUAAGCUUAAUCAGUACCAAAUGGAUCCAGUACCAAGGAGCAAGGAUGUGUCAUGUCCUAGCCUGGGGUUGUUCAGGAUCCAGUCAUAAUUCAUAUAAUCCUUGAAUCCUUAGUUCAGAAAGUUAUUUGAUCCUUGGACAAUGCCCUACAACAGAAUGAAUUUUGGGUCCAAAAUAUUCAUGAUGCAACACCAGCAAGUGAUGAUUGACCUACAGAAAAUGUGCUGACAGAUCAAUAAAAGGUGGUACAAAUCU